GCAAAUUUUUGGAUAAGUGUAAUUUUAUGAAUGCUAAACCACAUUUAUCUGCAUUAUUUUGCACAAGCUGUUUCAGCUAUUUGACACUUGGAGCAUCUUUCAAACUUCAGUAACAUUUUUAAACUUUUCAAAAUUAUUAUAGAAAACUGCAGCAUUUAACCAUGUUCCUCAUCUUUUAAUGAUAGGUUUUUUUUUUGUAUUUAUUUAUUCUCGGUGGUGCCAUCAUAUAUAUAUAUAUAUAGACGCUUAUCGCUCGCUGGGCUCUCAAAGCUUCAAGAAAAUUCCAGACAAAUGAUUAACGCCUAUGAUUUAGAAACGUGGGAAUAUUGCAAAAACUUCGAAAAUUGAAAAAAAUUGCAUUAUAAAAUUAAAUAGGCAGAAUAUUUUUAGUAUAUAUAAUAAAAUUUGAUUUAACUUUAUUGCAAAAAAAUUUGCAAUAUCAAUUAAAUCUGGUCUUUAUUUAUAACUUAUUACUUAUUUAUUAUUAGUUGCAAUAACUUUUUUUCUAAAUAAUAUUCUUAGAGUAUGAUAUUUUUUAUUAUUAUUAAGUUCCUGCAGGGUAAUAUUUUUUAAAAUUUUUGGAAUACUUAAUUAAAUAUGUGGGAUACUAUUCAAGAUAAGAAGACAGCCUGGUGGCUGACUUAUGUGAAGGGGUGUUACAUUGAUACAAGUAUGACAUGACUGCCUGUUUAGCACUGAUCACUAUCAAGUUGAAUUUUUAAUUUGAAUACAUAUUAUAUGAAUGUAAUGCCAUUGAUUUCAAAUACUAGUGUUAUAAUCAAUAAAUAUAUAUGAGUAAAUAAAAUAUCAAAAAUAUUUAGAAAAAACAUGAUUUGCUAUGAGACAUCUGUAUAUAGGAAC